CCUACGGGUGGCUGCAGUGGGGAAUAUUGCGCAAUGGGCGAAAGCCUGACGCAGCGACGCCGCGUGUGGGAUGACGGCCUUCGGGUUGUAAACCACUGUCGCGAGGGACGAAGAUCUGACGGUACCUCGAAAGGAAGCACCGGCUAACUCUGUGCCAGCAGCCGCGGUAAUACAGAGGGUGCGAGCGUUGUCCGGAAUCACUGGGCGUAAAGGGCGCGUAGGCGGCCUGGUAAGUAGGGGGUGAAAUCUCGCGGCUCAACUGCGAGGCUGCCUCCUAAACUGCCGGGCUUGAGCACAGCAGAGGCAGGUGGAAUUCCCGGUGUAGCGGUGGAAUGCGUAGAGAUCGGGAAGAACAUCGGUGGCGAAGGCGGCCUGCUGGGCUGUUGCUGACGCUGAGGCGCGACAGCGUGGGGAGCAAACAGGAUUAGAUACCCCAGUAGUC
rnacentral:rRNA from 1 species